UUAAUAAGCCCUUUGGUUUCUUUUUUGUCAACAAAAUAAUUGGGCUUUCUCCGUAAGCAGCUGUUGUUCAUGAGUAGCCUGAGGCUUCUCACCUGUGUAGGUGGGCUCUGAUACUAGAGCAUGUUUAAAACAUAAAGUGGACAAUAAGGAUUCUCAGUUUUGGGAGUUGAAGAAAUCUUUCUUUCAUAUUCUAAUUAUGCAUCUGUUAGGAAUGGUGCACUCCUAACAUCUGCAGUCAGAGCCCCUGAUCUGCAUCCAGAUCAUCAUUUUGGCAGGAGCAUGAAGCAUGGUCUAUGGCAGACUUUUGCAUGUGACCAGAUCAGUUACUACUUUCUGCUUUCAUGGAGGAGGGCAUAAAGAAAUAAGACCUCUGAUUUUGAAUGCCCUGUAUGAAUAGGAGUAAAUCAAGGGCAAACAUAGGUGCAGCACAAAGCUGCAUGUGACUUCAGAAGUGUCAGCUUUGGACUGGAUAAAAUCAAGAUCCCAGCUAAGUCCUCUCUUUCUGCAGUGGCAUCAGCAUUGGAUGCUUCAGGGGGAGAUGUAAGCAUCAUGCAAGCAAGUUGUCUAUAAAGUGCUGUGCUAAGGAGCUGUACAAGAGAAGCUGGUGGCAGCUGUCAAGACUUCCAGGUGAUGCUGUCCACACUUCAGUCUCAUAUCCAGACUACAAAUUUCUAUGUAUGUAGCCAGGGAAUCUUCUUGAAACAGCUGCCUGACAGUUAAUAGACAUGUUUGGGAGAAUGGAUAGAUGCACAUGGCAACACAAGGAGGAAAUGCAUGUAAAGGCCAAAAAGCAUUCCUCAACAAGAGGCCUUUGGAGCUUAGUGUGGUGAGGUGAGGAGGAAAUCCAUGAUGAGAUUGCUGCAUUUGAAAAUAGCAGUUAACAGGAUAAAAAAGGUCAGAAGCUGAGACAAUAAACCCACAGCCUGAAACAUAUCUGAAUUAGAGAGAUUGAAAAUGGAUUACAGUAGCGAGAGAAAUUCUCAGAUUUUUCCAGCAGAACCACAGGGUAUAUGGGGUGGAGGGUCCUGGGCUUUUGAAAGAUCUGACUCAAAUGAUGUCUGAGAUCUGUGAAUAUGGAGGGAGACAUGCUCAGAGGUAACCCUGUCCUAACUGUAGCUGUGCCUCUCUCUUGCUGUCCAAAGCGCUGAGCAGCUUUUAGGAGUGUGGCGGUCAGUUUUGUGAGGUGCUGGCAGUGUGUCCCCAGGAGGCUGAGGAACAAGCUGCAGCAGUCAUGAAGCUGUCUUUGGGAAAGACCUUCUUUAGCUCACUGAGCUUGUGUUAACAGCCACAAGUCAUGGGGAAAGGGGCUUUGCCUUCAAAAGAAGCGCUAGAAGCGCCACUCCUCUAGAAGGGUCUUGGAAAAGACUCUGAUGCCCAGGUUUUGCUUAAUCUCUGAAAAUCUGAAACCCAGCUAUUAUGUCAUAUUAACAUCUAUAGCAGAGCUACUUCAGGCUGGUGCUAACUGCUCCAGGAAAGGUCCCCAUAGACACUAUUCAAUAAAAAUCUCUUCUGAUGCCUUACCGCUUUCGUUGAAAAGAAUUGCAGUGAGUCCAGUCAGCCUUGUCCAAGGCACAGCACGUGUAACAGACCGGUUCAAAAAAUGCACAACUCCUUUGUUUUUGUAAUGAGUUCAUAUUUCUGGUUGCUAGCACAAGUGGGAUGCAGCUAAUAGUUAAUCUGCUGAGGGCAUUGCAGGUGCUCCAACAAUCAUACCCUUCUUUUCUGGAGGCAAAAUGCCUAACUGUGCUUGGAGCACUUUCCAUUGAAAAAACACACUUUAAGAGGAGUGCUGAUUACACCCUUCCAUGAAAAAUUAAAUCUACAGAUAAUGUGCUGUUUGUAACUUGCCAAGAACAUUGCUCAUAAGCAGUGCAGGAGAAUCAAUUCCCUCAUUAGUAGAAAUGAGUAUACAUCUUUUUAUGAAUGCUGAAGAAUAUUACGUUAUAUGAGUUUUUUGAAAAAGGUCUUUUGAUUGAGGAAGUGAUUUGUAUGUCUUGUCUGAAAAUGUCUUUUCCGUUCUAAGACACAUUUUGCAAUACAUAAGGUUCCAAACAUGCUGAAAAAUGAAGUUGCUAAUGUAGAUGAAGUUGCUGAAGUCAGGCUGAUAAUAUUUUACCUGUAAAGUUAGUAUACUUCCACUGAGGAAUCUGCAUUUGUAAUCCAAAGGUUGUGAAGUGAUAUUUUUUUGAAGUGCUUCUGAACUUAUUCUGUGUAUUUUUUCAAUGUCAUUCACAUUGUUGCUGAGCUCAGGUUCAAAAGAUCAAAUUGUAACAUCUUUUAGUGGCUUGAAUGGCAAUUAAAUCCUGCUUAAUGUGCCUAUUAUAAAAUGUUAGAGGGAGUGACUGUAAUUAGUAUUUAAAAAUAUCAGUACUUAUCAUGCCAUCUUGAAAAUGAGACAGCAACUUUGUCCAAAUCUGGUAGUUAUUAUGUACUUAAUAGCCAAGGAAUUUUAAAAUUGGCCCAAACCUGUUCUUUCUGAAGCAAGUGGUAAAACUCCAGUUUAGUCAAAUAGAAGGAGGAUUAGAUGAUGACUGCUUGUAAAGUUCCAACCAUUAACAUUCAACUUCAGUAGAAAUUUUCCAUAUGUUUUACUUGCAAGACUAGAUGACUGUGUUAACUAAUUAGAAGCACUAUU